rnacentral:lncRNA from 1 species
CCAAGAAUAUAGGGAAUUGAUAAAGUAUCAAGUUACAGAAGAUUUAAAUAGUCAGUGCCAUAGAGUCUAUCGCACUGAUUCCCAGAAUAUGAGUCAUUGCUUUUCUGAUAUUAUGACUCAAUUUAUAACAAACAUAAAAUGCCACAGUUUCACUCUGCUCUGGUGGUUGUGAGAAUCUGAGAAUAAAACAUAUUACCAGAGUUUUCUGUUUUCUUAUGGUCUCAAAUUUUAAAUUUCUUUGAUUCUUCUAAAAUGAAAGCAGGACAUUUUUCUUCUGUCUUUGUUUAUGGCUUAUGUUGUCUAAGCAGGAAGAGGCUGACCCAUUAGGACUAUAACAUUUUGAGUAAAACUAUAAAAUACUUUUCAACUUUUUAAUUUGAAUAUAUGAGAAGACAGAUAUAUUGAAUCAAACUUGAAACUGUACAAUUCUUUGAUGUUGUGGAAUGAGGGGGUUGAGAAGUGCUGAAACGGCAGGAGCAGAGUUAAUUUAGGAAGGAGCCCAGUUAUGGAUGGGAAGUAUUAACUGCUAAUGCCUGACUAUUUUUCUAUGCUGUGGCUAACAGACAUUUUCUUUUUGUUUAUUAUUUCAAGCUCUUUGAAUACCUGCAGGCAUGACACUUAGAAAAAUUUAUACUCUAUGGUUAAUGUCCUAUUUCCUUCUAUCUUAUGCAAUUUAAGUGUUUUCUUCCUUUGAUUAUAUGCAUACAAUGUAUACUUGUAAAAAUCACCCUCAAGUGAUUCAGCCAUGAGAUUAACACACCCAUUUGCCAAAUUCCCUGGAAUCUAUCAGAAUAAAGAAGAAAGCACAAGGAAACAAGCUGAGCUUAAGCACUUUCUCUUUCUUUUUUUCCUUUGAACCCCAUAAUUUCCUGCUGUGUCUGGGGAUCAGCUCUAAAUAAGUCUACUGCUCAAAGGACUGUCUUGUACACUGAGAAUAAAAAAAAAUUAAAAAGAUCUGCAUUCACAAAAAGAGAAAUGUGAAUAACAGCAUUCUUAAAAGGGUGUCGACAUUGUAGGCAUUUGUUCAAGGUAGGUUGUUGAAAGUCAGAAUACACUCCAAUGUCCAGUGAUGGGGGAAAGACCAUUUCAUAAGCAAACAUGCUUGUGUCACUUUGCCCAACACUGUCACACCAUUCACCACUGUGCUAAAACCAAUAACAGGUUCCUAAAAAGCCUAACAUUCACCCAGGUUUUUGCCUGGUACUGAUUGUCCUUGUCUAAUUUCACAUGUUAUAUUUGUAAGGAUACAGAUUCCUGAACUGGUAUGGAUUGUGCUCAUAAAAAUAUAGCUAAAACCUAUAUUUAGAUUUCCAGAGAAAUAGAACUAGUUGGAUAUCUGUCUAUCUAUCUAUCUAGAGCUUGAUUUAUUAUAAGAAAUUGGCUUACAUGGUUAUGGAGGCUGGAAAGUCCGAAAUCAGUGUAGCUAGUGUCCCAAUUCAAGUCUGAAGGCUGAAAGUUGCCAUAGAGACAGAAAAAGCCAAUGUCCCAGUUUGGAGGCCAUCAGGUAGGAAGAGCUGAGGUUUCUCUGAGGGAGAUGAGUUGUGAAUCACUGCUAUAGAAACAAUGGCGGUUGUUCAUUUCAUCCCUGAAUUUCCUUGUUUGUGAAUGAGAACUGAUGAGGUUGUCAGAAUUCAAUAUAGAUCCUAUAGAUCGUGACCUGUUAGCAAAACAGGCUUAAAAGGCAUUUUAGCUGUGUUUCAUUGCCAAUACCUCAUUCUUUAAAUGUAUUUAAGUCCUUCCUUGAUAACAAGAAUAGGCUGAAACUCAAAACCACAACAUAGAAGUUUGUACUUUAGGGGAGUUGAGUGCUCUUGAGCUCAGUACUAAGUUCUCUUCUGCUUUUCCAGGUAAACUUUCCUCUGGGACAUCUCAAGAGAUUCAUGGCUUUAAUAUCCUCUUCAUGCUGAUCAUUUCAAAAUAUGUUUCUCUGGCUCUCACUUCUCCAGUAAGCUCCAGACUUAUCAUCUGACUACUUAUUGGUAUCUCCAGUUAGAUGUCUAAUAGGCAUCUUUUAAACUAUAAAGAUACAUAUCCAGAAUAGAAUUUGGGGUCCAUUGCCCUCCAAAAUCUGAUCAUCACCCAGUCUCCCAUAUAUUAAUUAAUGACUCCUCUUUACCCUGUUGCUUAGGAUGUGGUAGAUCGUAUUUCUGUAAGUGACCAAAGCAAAGAUUUUUCAUUCCACAUGCUUUUCUUACAAUGUGACUUUUGCUCUCUUCCCUUGGGACUUGGGGUCUGUGGUCUUGUUCCUUAAAACUUGGUAGGGAUUUGUGACUAUCCCCACAAAUAGAAUAUAGUGGACAUGAUGUUUGGUGACAUUAAAAACCAGGAAAAAAGGCAAAACAGCUUCCAUCUGGCUCUCUCUCUUUGGGAAUGCUUCCCCUGAGCCUAGUCAUGCACCAUAAUGCAAGGAAGCCCAAACUAGUCCAUAGGGAAGGAUGAUACAGAGAGGCCAAAGUGAAGAAGCAGGGAGGUCCCCAACUCAAGCCAGCAUCAGCUGCCAUAGGUGUGAAUGAACAAGACAUCAGGUCUUUCCUACCCCCAGCUUUUGAGUCAUGUGGCCGAGAGCUCAGAUGUUCUGGGGGUAGAGACAUACCACUAAACUUUGGGUAGUUUAUUAUGCAGUUUUCGAGGAGGAAAAAUAUUUUUUUUUUCUGCCCAUCUUGGUUUUUCUGAUUGGUCUAAGAAUUAAAUUGACAUAAGACAUAUUAAAAGGAGAAAAUAAAACAAAAGUUUAAUAACAUGUGUACAUGGUAGAGAUGCAACAAAACCGAGUAACUGGCCAAAAUGGCUGAAACCACUUAGCAUCUUCAGCUAAAGGGAAAAGAAGAUGUUGGGUAGUGGGUUGGGAUUUCAGAAGGGAGGAAAGGAAUUCACAGGGAAAUUGAAAAACAAAUGCUUGCUAAAGAAAUGCUUGCUACGGAGUUCCCGUCGUGGCGCAGUGGUUAACGAAUCCGACUAGGAACCAUAAGGUUGCGGGUUCAGUCCCUGCCCUUGCUCAGUGGGUUAACGAUCUGGCGUUGCCAUGAGCUGUGGUGUAGGUUGCAGACGUGGCUCGGAUCCCGCGUUGCUGUGGCUCUGGCGUAGGCUGGUGGCUACAGCUCCAAUUAGACCCCUAGCCUGGGAACCUCCAUAUGCCGCGGGAGCGGCCCAAGAAAUAGCAACAACAACAAC